UGAAGACCGUGACACUGAAUGGUUGCAGAAAGUCAUCAAAGCUUAUGACUGGUGUCUGAUGAAUGGCUAUGCACCUAAACAGGACGGUAGUGUAAUUGUCCCCAUGUCCAUCUAUCAAUUUUUAGAUGCAAACACAAGACAGGGCUGCUGUUACCUGUUCCAUCAAACCCAAGCUAAAUUUUUUACAACUCAAGACGAAAAGUUAAGCAAUGUCUGCGAGCUAAUCACCUUCAACGUUACUCUCCCAAUGACUACAAGCGAUUGUUCUAAAAGGUGGGCUCGUGAUUUCAUCGGAAAAACUUACAACUGCCUAGAGUGGGGAUUCUCCGGCAAGUGAUUCUGCAAAAUGUUUUAAGUUAGAUGCUGCAUGCAUGUCAUUACCACGUUUGUUAAUUGCACAAAAACAAGCAAGAAACUAGUGCCACACACCCCUGCAUGGUGCUUGGACCAACUGAUCACUGCCUGCAGCCAUACAUAAACUAUAUCUUGCUUAACUGCAUAAAAAAAAAAUGCACAUUUCUUUACAAAGGUUGUCUUAAUACUGGGAAUGUGCCUAAAGAAGUAAGACGAUUGGUGUUGGGUAUUAAGGUCUAUGGUUUGGUUUAGUCCAUGUUUGGUUGGUGGUUUUAAAGCCAUCUUGGGUGUUCUAGACAUUAAUAUGACUUUUGAACAACCCUGUAUAUUUUUACUCAUACAUUUUUCAUUAUCAUUAUUGAUAAUUUCUCACAACUGUCUAAAAAAAACCCUCCGCAACAGUGUCAAUCUUUUGAGGGACUGCAAGGAUUGUUAAGGUAAAUUUAUUUGACUUGAUGUCCUGUAGACUUUGCUUAUCUCGCUCAGGUAAGGAAUCAGGGAACUGUGUAAGGUGAAGUGAAUCCAUGAUGUGUGUACUUCAUAACUGUAAUCAAAGCAAUGUUGUUCUUACAUGUAAAGAAUAGAACUUCCAUUACAGCCUUUGCUCCGCCCCCCCUUCUUCUAGAGAGUAGAGAUACAAUUGUGCACCACCACCUCUUCCUCUAAGCUGGUGUAUCUUCUUUGAUGAUAGGACGGAUAUAAAUUAACAUGACUUAACAAGAUGUAAUAUAAAGCUCAGGAA